AGCGGGGGAGACGUGAAGAUGGGCCUGGAGACAGAGGCCCUGGCCACCCCCAAGGUGCUCUGCUCACCAGGUCAGCCGAGACCGCGGUGGUGAUGAGGGCGUACGGGCCGUUGACCAGGGCUCCACAGGUGAGCAGCAUCGCUGCCGUGGGGACGGAGACGGCCCGGUUAGAGAGCAGAGGCCACCGCCACCCCCAGCCCCAAAGCGGGGAUGUACACACGCAAAGAGACGGGUGUGUGCGUGAUGCCCAGGCGUGCACAGGCUUCGGCGGCCCACGACGCACACACACUUUGCCCUUGAGGUUCUACGCACCGUGGGGGCAGCCAAGAUCAGCAUGACGCAGCAGGUGGUGGCCCUGCCAUUGGUGUAGUCAGAGAUGAGCCCCGCCAGGAUGCCGCCUGGAACACAACGUGCACGCUGCCACCCCAGGCACGUGGGACCCCGAGCACUGCCCCAUCACUCAGCCCAGCACGAACCGGGCCCGGGCACCCAGAGCCAGCUGAGUGUCUCCCUCCGCAGCCUUCCCCGCACCCACUGAUCACGGGAAGACCACCUGGGCAGGAUGCCACCUUUUCCCUCUGAUGCCACCUGGCUAGGUCACACCCCACUGGACCUGUCCCUUUUUUCUGCACCCUGACAAGAGGAGAGGGGGGUGCAGCCUAGAGGCAGAGCAGGGCAUGGCCUCACCGACGAUGCCACCAACAUCGAAGAGCGUGGACAGGUCCCCAGACUCCUUGGCACUAAAGUGAACUGUGGAAGACAAAAGCAUGUGUUCAGACCUGGGGGCUCAGGGCAGACAUCCUGGAGGGCCACCGCUGGGAGCAUCCCUGCAGACACCUGGUCCAGUAUCAUCUUCAGAGGAAGGAGUGGGGGGCCAUGGAGAAGUGAUUGGCCAAGGUCACAAGUGAGUCUGCAGCAGUUUGGGACCGGAUGCCCUUUCCGGCCCCCAGUCCUGUCGGAUGGCCUUGACCUCCCGGAAAAGCCCUUCUAUGAAAGCAUUGGGAUCUGGCCCUGAGGACCCUGUCCCACUGGGGGCACAACUGCUCUCAAUGAGCCUCAGCCUGUCCAGCCACAUUCCUGCCCUCCCCCUGACCGAGCAGCUGGUCCCCACAGAAGCUUGUCACCUCCAUUUGAGGUCCCUGCCUAUAAGCAGAGCCAGGAAGGAGGCUUGCGGGAAAAUGGGGACCUCAGGUCCCAGACCUCGCCCUAGAAUUAGAAAAAGGGACGCCCAGAAGCUUGAAUUGUAGCCCAGCCCUCAAGGUUGACUCACACUCUGUAGCCAGCAUCAAGGCCACAGAACAGAGUCAGUGACCGCAGGGCUGCCCUGGUGCUCCACCCGCAUCGUCGAGACAGGCCCCUCAGAUGGAGCCGGGGGCGGGGUUGGGGGGUGAGUUACAGCUUGAGACCUGGCCCUGACUCAUCCCCACCGCAUCCUGUUCGGUGCAAGGAUGCUGUGUGGAGACCAGCCUCGUCCCUCCCACGGGGCCUGGAGGGAGCCCGGCAGCCCUGGCUGAGUGGUCCUUGGCCCUGGUGGAGCUCUGAGGCUCUGGGGGCGGGGCUGCUCCCUGACAGAGUAGCUCCACGUGUGGAAAACCAGAGAUCCAGGACAGGGGAACAUAAACAUCCUUUUCAACCGCAAGAGUGACCUCUCCUCAUCUGUCCAUCCUCGGGCAGAGGCAGAGGAGAGGAGGACCACAAGGUGGGCAGCCCAGCAGACCCAGGCACAGGGCAUCAAUCCCCCGAGGCUCCCGGCAGCCCUCCUUGGAAGAGAACAGUGGUUACUGCCAGGCUACAGGCAGUGGGGGUAGCUCAUCAGGCCCUCUUCCUUGGGCUCGGGGAGGCUUAAGGGGCUCCUGGAGGCACUCAAAAGGCAGACCAUUUCCAGUACCCUCCAGUCCCGCCCAUCUAUGAGCCAAGCAGCCUGGAGGGGGGUUUCUCCUACACCUGAGGCUGGAGAAGAAGUUAGGGAGGAUUGCAGAACAGAGCUUUGAGUUCCUAACCCCGACUCAGUGCCAAGGGAGGAAAAGUGGCUGGAAUCAGGGACUUGCUGGGGGGCGGUGCGUCUGCAAGGUUUAGCUUCCCAUUAAAGAAAAAAAAUGUCCCUCCUGCCCUAGGAGAGGUUCAGCAGAAAUCCUGCCUAUUCCUGGAGUCCUACGCAUCACGUGACAGGUUUCCUCCUCAGAGACCCCUCCCUCCCUCACCUCUUCUUCCCCCAGUACUCACCCACAUUGAAGAUGUAGAGAGGCAGCCAGUAGAGGAAGGUGUAACUGACCAGCUUGGCAAAGAGCAGACACAAGGAGAACUCGACCACACCCUGGGGAGCGUAACAGAGGGCACGAUGGAAACGGGGGCACGACAUCCUUGGUCCGUCAGCGGAGCCCCAUCCCAGCACUUUCCACCGCCCACCGCGCAAAGCAGCCUCGAGGACCUCUCCAGCCUCAGUCACAGCAGUGUGCCUGCGGCCCGGAUAUGCUGUGUCAGGACGAGCCUCCCACGUUCCCCUCCCCAAGUGGACCACCCUCCCUAGGCACUGCAUGUAAAGAAAUUCUGGAAACCACAGGUCACCCUGAGCAUCCCCAUCUCCUGAGACCCAGCAGAAAAAUCUAGAGAGCCUCUCUCCUCCUUCUAGUCCACAAAAGACUCACCGGGAUCCAGAGCGCCCCAAAGAAGCUGAUGGCAGCGGGAUGAGCACUUGGCUCCUUGGAGCAGGUGACCGUGGCCCUGACUCCCUGGCCCGUCUGUCAGGGAGCUGGGAAGAGGCAGCAGACGUGGAGAGGCCACCCCACCUUUCCCUCCUCGGUCUCAGAAGAGCCGGCGUUUGCCAGGCAUCCUGACUACACGUCUCACGGAAACGCUCAACAGCCCAGGGAAGCAGGCGUUGUUAUACUUAGGUCACACGUGAGAGAACUGAGGCUCAGAGAGGUGGCCUGUCCCAAGUCACACCUCUGUGGCGCCAACCCCGCGGUCCCACGCUACCAGCCGCCUUCUCCCAGGACCUAACCGGGAGGCUCGGCUCCGGCCCUGUGAGGAGGGAGGGCUCCACUCACAUUCAAUGAAGAAGAAGAAGGUGAUGAGGCCCAUGAUGGCGGUGAUGAUGCCGGGCACCACAAAAGACAGGCCCCACUGCUCAUCCACCCAGACGCCGGCGAUCAGGGAGCCCAGGAUGUUGCCCACGGAUGUGUGGGAAUUCCAGAUGCCCAUGAUGAGGCCCCGCCUGGAGCGGAGGGAGGGAGGCAGGUAGAGAAGAACGGGAAAAGUAAGAAGAGAAGCACAGGGCUCCUGGCGACCGCCCGACCAAGUGCAAAAAGCUGGCUGCCUGCAGCCUCCGAGCUGAAGGCCCCCCUCAGGGAGGAGCGGGAGGGUUUGCUGGUGUCAAGGGAGUGGCAGCAAGGCCGGGGGUCCCGCUCCCCAGCCGCUCCCUGAGUUAGCACCCUCCGGCUCCUGCUGCCCCAGGGCCCAGAGCCCUAGCCCUUUCUUCUCUUGCCCUAAGGCCGUGACUCUGAAGUCCUCAACCAGGGGUUGACUCUGCCCCCAGGGGACGUGGGCGCCGUCUGGAGAGUUCUGACCGUCCCAGCUGUGGGUGCGCUAGUGGCAUCUAGGGGUAGAGGCUGCUGAACACCCCACACUGUGUAGGACGGUCCCACAGCAACGAAUUAUCCAGCCCCAUAUGUCCAAGUGCCAGGGUUGAAAAACCCUGCCCUAAAGAAACUUUUUUUUGCACAAAAGCCAGUUCAAGGGAAAAAAACAAAACAAACAAACAA